UACGAAGGGUGCAAGCGUUACUCGGAAUUACUGGGCGUAAAGCGUGCGUAGGUGGUUUGUUAAGUCUGAUGUGAAAGCCCUGGGCUCAACCUGGGAAUUGCAUUGGAUACUGGCAGGCUAGAGUGCGGUAGAGGAUGGCGGAAUUCCCGGUGUAGCAGUGAAAUGCGUAGAGAUCGGGAGGAACAUCUGUGGCGAAGGCAGGUCUCUGGGCUGACAACUGACGCUCAUGCACGAAAGCGUGGGGAGCAAACAGG
rnacentral:rRNA from 1 species